GCUAGGGAUGUGGCUCAGUGGUAGAGUGUUUACCUAAUAUGCAUAAGGCCCUGGAUUGGAUCCCCAGCCUUAGGG
rnacentral:tRNA from 1 species